rnacentral:rRNA from 1 species
GAUGAACGCUGACAGAAUGCUUAACACAUGCAAGUCGAUUCGAUUUACCUUCGGGUAUUGAGGAUGGCGGACGGGUGAGUAACGCGUAAGGAACUUGCCUCUUGGUCUGGGACAACUGUUGGAAACGACAGCUAAUACCGGAUAUUAUGAGAUUCUCGCAUGGGAAACUUAUGAAAGCUAUAUGCGCCAAGAGAGAGCCUUGCGUUCCAUUAGCUAGUUGGUGGGGUAACGGCCCACCAAGGCGACGAUGGAUAGCCGGCCUGAGAGGGUGAACGGCCACAAGGGGACUGAGACACGGCCCUUACUCCUACGGGAGGCAGCAGUGGGGAAUAUUGGACAAUGGGCCACAAGCCUGAUCCAGCAAUUCUGUGUGCACGAUGAAGGUCUUCGGAUUGUAAAGUGCUUUCAGUUGGGAAGAAGAAAGUGACGGUACCAACAGAAGAAGCGACGGCUAAAUACGUGCCAGCAGCCGCGGUAAUACGUAUGUCGCAAGCGUUAUCCGGAUUUAUUGGGCGUAAAGCGCGUCUAGGCGGAAAAAUAAGUCUGAUGUUAAAAUGCGGGGCUCAACUCCGUAUUGCGUUGGAAACUGUUUUUCUAGAGUACUGGAGAGGUGGGCGGAACUACAAGUGUAGAGGUGAAAUUCGUAGAUAUUUGUAGGAAUGCCGAUGGAGAAGUCAGCUCACUGGACAGAUACUGACGCUAAAGCGCGAAAGCGUGGGGAGCAAACAGGAUUAGAUACCCNGGUAGUCCACGCC